CAACUGAUGAAAGCAGUACAGGGGCCCACUGAAGACCUAACAAUUGAAGAUGUAAUAAUUGCAUCAGCCUUGCUGACAUGACAUCAAAAGCUGUCUCACUCAUGCUCUGAUGUCUUCUGCCUGAGAAGUAUUUCAACAGGCGCUUUCGGCAACGGGUGCAGAUAAAGAAGGAUAAGAACGAGGUUUCUAACUUGACAACCUAAACUGGAGGCGACCCCGAUGGUACCCCUGAAAUUCAUCCUGGCCGAAUACUUCUCAGGAAAUGGUGGAAAAGUUCUGAAACCAAACCGCUGGGACAGCCCACCGUCCGCCACUCCCGCCCAGGACCAACCCCGGAAAGCCGGCGCCCCUAGCGCCCCGCUCGGUGGCCUGGAACCGCCAAGGAAGUACGCCUUCGCGACACUUUUGCGACACCGACGCUAUUCGGCUCCCCAGCGCCCCCGGGCGGCAACGGGAGGUGUGUACCGUUAGGAUCCCGCGGGCUUUGCGGAAGUGAACUCUGAAAUAGGAAGAAUGGAUGGAAUGAUGUACAUAUAACAGAUGAAGAAACUGAGGUUCAAAGACAAUAAGAUGAAUUGCCCACAGGGAUUGUCAGCAAUCCCCGUAUGGAGACUGGGUCUUGCUAUGAUGCUUCCCUCUAGCUAUGAAGAUGUUGAAAGAACUUUGUAAAGAGUGUCCCCCAACUGGAUUUGCAGCAGCAAUAAUGGAAGUUCUUGCAGGAAGGCUACAAACCACACCAGCCUUAGCAAGGCUAAUACUUUGCUGUUCCAUGGCUUCUAACAAGGCUUGAUGUUGGUUCCCCAUCUUAUCAAAUUCAUCUAUUCCACAAAUGCCUACAAUCGCAGUAGAAUAAUAUGGACAAAAAAUAUUUUUCUUUGGUCAAGUUCCAAAUUUUGUAAGAUAGAUUAUUCUACAAUAAAUAAUUAUUUCAAUUUGUUCCUAGUUAAAAAAAGGUCAUACAAUGGAAAAUUACUGUUUGCUUUAUAUUUGUUUUGUUUAACUAAGUUUUAUGUAAUAUUUAUUUAUUCACCACUUUUCCAUAGCAUUAUGUUGUGAGAGUUGCAAAAAUGAAGAUAUAAGCAUACUCAAAAUGCUUAUGGACUUAAUUAAAAAAUACUUAAAAAAUACUUUAAAAAUCCUAUGAGAUAUGCAUAAUUAUGUAAGAUGAGUUUUCUGGAGUGGGGAGUGGUUAAAAGGAGAUCUUGUAGGGAUAGUGGGACAGCAUAAUUUGAGAGGAAGAGUAUGGGCCCUAUAGAACAGAAAAUCUAGGGACAGCUGUCAACAAUACCAGGUUCUAAUCAUACACUUGCAGGGAAUCACUUAACCAACUUAAAUCUAAAACAAAGCACCACCACUGACUGAAGGCAUUUUAUGUGCUAGGGCAAGAAUGUUAUAUAAUCCAUAAGUUAAUGAAAACCUCCUAAUAUCACAUUGUAAUAUCUUCUUCCCACUUCCCCAGAUCAGUUAAAUUAGCUGUUAAGGGGUCAUAUCUGAAGGACUUUGCUGUGGGUUAACCUCAUGUAUAUCUACUCUAUAUCCAGGUAAACUUUAUUAGCUAGCUCAGAGGUGCUAUGAGAAAUAACUGCUGAUUAGUCUUCUGUAUAAAUUUCAAGAUUCCAUGAUCCACUUCUGGUUUCAUUUACUGGGUUCUCUAAUUCAUGGAGUUAAGUAUCUUUUAUGUCAAAUGCCCUUCAUUUUUGUCUCUAUAAUUGCCCCUCUAAUUAUUUUAAACUUUGUUCUUUUCUUUUGCAUUUGCUGAGAUUAUCUUAAACCUUCCUCUGUACCUUUAAUUUCUCCUUUGGCAGGAUUAGUGCUAUAUGCUGCUUUAGUAAUUAUAUUGCUAGUCAUCAACUUGCUAUCUAUAGUGUCCUUACCACGUCCUCCACUUGUUUUAUUUCAUUAAAUUCAUGUACUUAUUAAAUGUUUGAAAAAUUCA